UACGUAGGGGGCAAGCGUUGUCCGGAAUCAUUGGGCGUAAAGAGCGUGUAGGCGGCCCGAUAAGUCCGCUGUGAAAGUCCAGGGCUCAACCCUGGAAUGCCGGUGGAUACUGUCGGGCUCGAAUCCGGAAGAGGUGAGUGGAAUUCCUGGUGUAGCGGUGAAAUGCGCAGAUAUCAGGAGGAACACCAGUGGCGAAGGCGGCUUUCUGGUCUGUAACUGACGCUGAGGCGCGAAAGCGUGGGGAGCAAACAGG
rnacentral:rRNA from 1 species